rnacentral:rRNA from 1 species
GUCCAGACUCCUACGGGAGGCAGCAGUGGGGAAUAUUGCACAAUGGGGGAAACCCUGAUGCAGCGACGCCGCGUGAAGGAAGAAGUAUUUCGGUAUGUAAACUUCUAUCAGCAGGGAAGAAAAUGACGGUACCUGACUAAGAAGCCCCGGCUAACUACGUGCCAGCAGCCGCGGUAAUACGUAGGGGGCAAGCGUUAUCCGGAUUUACUGGGUGUAAAGGGAGCGUAGACGGUUAUGUAAGUCUGGAGUGAAAGCCCGGGGCCCAACCCCGGGACUGCUUUGGAAACUGUGUAACUGGAGUACAGGAGGGGCAGGCGGAAUUCCUGGUGUAGCGGUGAAAUGCGUAGAUAUCAGGAGGAACACCGGCGGCGAAGGCGGCCUGCUGGACUGAAACUGACGUUGAGGCUCGAAAGCGUGGGGAGCAAACAGGAUUAGAUACCCUAGUA